CAACCAUUAUGAAACUGAGCAAACAGCAAGCUAAUGUUUGUGUCUUUGCUUUUGUAGCGAAGUAACAGAGGCUGGAACUCAAAAAGCUCUCAGGAAUCACUGAAAAACAAUUGCAGACGUGCAAGAAUUCAGGGAAUAUUGUACUCGAGCUCUUUGUGAGGAAUCUAUUAGAAGACCACCUUCAUCCAACUAAGAUGUGAAUGAAGAAACUGUUAGAACUAGUGAGUUCUGGAAGCUACAAGUCCGAAACCAAGGUGCAGGGCCAUAGUCCAUCUGAAGUCUCUAGGGAAGGAUCUGUUCCCUGCCUGUCUCCUAGCUUCUAGUGGUUGCGGGUAUGUCCUUGGCUUCUAGGCACAUAACCCCAGGCUCCCUCUGUCUUCGCAAGAUGGUCUCCUCUCUGUGCCUGUGCCUUCAAGACACAUUUCUAAGUGAAAAGGUGAAAUAAUAGUGUGUGGUAUAUGCAAUGAAUUAUGUAAAAACAUGUGCCUGUGCUUGAGUAUAAACAAAAUACUUUCGGAAGUACAUCCAAGAAGUCAGUAAGUGGUAGCUUCUUGGAAUAGGAACUGGGUAGCUGGGGAAGAAGUAGAAAAAAACACACUCAUGUUUUACUGUAUUUCGGUUUGUAUAUUUUUAAUAGCCAUGUUGAGAUGCAUUUCACACACCGUGAAAUUCUGCCAUUAAAAGUGUACAAUUCAGGGGCACCUGGGUGGCUCAUUCAGUUAAGCCUCUGACUCUUGGUUUGGGCUCCAGUCAUGAUCUCGCGGUUUGUGGGUUUGAGCCCCGAGUCGAGCUCUGUGCUGAGAGUGUGGAACCUGCUUGGGACUCUCUCCCUCUUUCUCUCUGCCCCUCCCCCACUCACUUGCACAUGCAUUCUCUUUUUCUCUCUCUCUCAAAAUA